GCAGCCGCCACGGUAAUACGAAGGGGGCUAGCGUUGCUCGGAAUGACUGGGCGUAAAGGGCGCGUAGGCGGCGAUCAAAGUCAGGCGUGAAAUUCCUGGGCUCAACCUGGGGGCUGCGCUUGAUACUUGGUUGCUUGAGUGGGGAAGAGGGUCGUGGAAUUCCCAGUGUAGAGGUGAAAUUCGUAGAUAUUGGGAAGAACACCGGUGGCGAAGGCGGCGACCUGGUCCUUGACUGACGCUGAGGCGCGAAAGCGUGGGGAGCAAACAGGAUUAGAUACCCCGGUAGUCCCUGUCUCUUAUCC
rnacentral:rRNA from 1 species